rnacentral:lncRNA from 1 species
UUCAGGCCCCACCAUAAUCCUUGGUCACUUUCCAUGCAUAUAAAGAGUGGAUUGUUCAGUUUCCCCAUGCCUUUUAGAACUACUGAAUAACAGGACAUCGAUGGCUCUCAAAUAAUAGAGUCACAUAGGAUCAGGCCCUCAUCUGUGAGAAUCCCUGCCUAUACUUUGUUCCAGUUAAAACCCUAAACCCCACUACUUUUUGCCCUCAGAACCUGGCCCCCUGACCAUGACUGCUUCAAGGUCACCAACGAGUUGUUCUCCAGUCAUCCAGAUCUGCAGAAAGACCCACUGCCUGAUGCUGAUUUCAUCCUCUUCAAAGAUGGGAACAGCUUCAUGGAAAAUGGGCUGUCAAGGUGACUGAAGUCCAGCCAUGGAUUCACCACUCUAGAGUGAAAUAAUCGAGAACUCCAUGGACUGUGGCUCCAGGAGACAGAGCACUCAAGGCCCUGCUCUCACCACACCGGAAGUUGAUGAGUCCACAC